UCUUUGUAUAGAAAACGAUUAUGGAAAUUUUUUUUUUACCUUGUAUUCUUUCCAUCUCUCUUCUACAUUUAUGCUUCUUUUAAGAGUGUAAAUUGUGAUUCCUUUCUUCCCAAGUGUGAUUGCUUAGGAAACCUUGGAUGUAAUUGCCAAAGGUUUUUUUCUUUUUUCUUUUUAAUUUAUUUAUUCUAGUCAUCUUUUAGUUUUCUCUCCUUAUUCUAUAACACAAGAAGGUUGUAUAGUGUUAGAAAAUUUAAGAUUAUGCAACACUUAAUAUAGGACUCCCUUUCCUAGUUGGAAUAUGACUCAUUUUCCUAAUGUAGUUAGAAGUUACAUAAAAGAAAGCAGAAAUUUCACCCAAAAAAACAGGAGGCAAACUAAAACCAAUCCUAAUAAAAUAAAUACACUCCAAACAAACCCAACCAUAAGCUACUAGUUCAGCCAAUGCCAAAAAUAUAAAAUCACAAAACUAUCCUUGCUGAAAUAAUCGUAUAAUAAAACCUAAAUUUAUCACAUGAGGUCCUAAGAGGAACUUAAAUGCUCAUUUGCAUCUUAAAUUCAGGCUUGGGCAUUUGAACCAUUUUUUUUCCUUUUCUCUUCUAAGUCUUCAAAUUCUGACAUUGUUCCCCAUCACUUUAUUAACAAUUAAAAGAGUAUAUUUUUUUUUACUAUCCCCAUCAUCUCUUUUGAACCUUCUCUGCUUAGCAAAUUGGGUUUUGUAUCUCCAUUUGACCUCUAGUUCCUUGUUGCAUUUUUUUUGUUUUUGGGAUAAUAGUGGAUUUCAUUGACACCAUCCGUUGGAAAGAUGAUGUCAAUCAGUAUUGCACAUAAUCUAGUGCAACAUGAUUGAACUAAACACAAAAAUUGAUAGACAUUUUAUCAAGGAGAAGCUAGAUAGUGGAUUGAUCUGUACGCCUUAUGUAUCUAUUGACCACUAACUUGUGGAUAUACUCACAAAAGGUUUAAGCAGUACAAAGUUUCAAACAAGUGUAUCCAAGCUGGGAAUGGAAAACAUUUAUUCACCAACUUGAGGGGGAGUGUGGAAGAAUGGAAUUAGGGAAGUUGUGAUUUUGUAGAGAGAAUUUGACAAUCCCGUGAUCGAAGGGAUGUGUUGUAAUUGAGUUAUGAAAGUUCUUAAAAUGCUAGGAUUUUUUGUAUAUAUAUAUAUAUAUAUGUGAGUCUCUGUAUAGAACAUGAUUAUGGAAAUUUUUUUUUUACCUUGUAUUCUUUCCAUCUCUCUUCUACAUUUGUGCUUCUUUUAAGAGUGUAAAUUGUGAUUCCUUUCUUCCCAAGUGUGAUUGCUUAGGAAACCUUGGAUGUAAUUGCCAAAGGUUUUUUUCUUUUUUUUUUUUUUAAUUUAUUUAUUCUAGUCAUCUUUUAGUUUUCUCUCCUUAUUCUAUAACACAAGAAGGUUGUAUAAUGUUAGAAAAUUUAAGAUUAUGCAACACUUAAUAUAGGACUCCCUUUCCUAGUUGGAAUAUGACUCCUUUUCCUAAUGUAGUUAGAAGUUACAUAAAAGAAAGCAGAAAUUUCACCCAAGAAAACAGGAGGCAAACUAAAACCAAUCCUAAUAAAAUAAAUACACUCCAAACAAACCCAACCAUAAGCUGCUAGUUCAGCCAAUGCCAAAAAUAUAAGUCACUAAACUACCCUUGCUGAAAUAAUCGUAUAAUAAAACCUAAAUUUAUCACAUGAGGUCCCAAGCGGAACUUAAAUGCUCAUUUGCAUCUUAAAUUCAGGCUUGGGCAUUUGAACCAUUUUUUUCCUUUUCUCUUCUAAGCCUUCAAAUUCUGACAUUGUUCCCCAUCACUUUAUUAACAAUUAAAAGAGUAUAUUUUUCUUUACUAUCCCCAUCGUCUCUUUUGAACCUUCUCUGCUUAGCAGAUUGGGUUUUGUAUCUCCAUUUGACCUCUAGUUCCUUGUUGCAUUUUUUUGUUUUUGGGAUAAUACUGGAUUUCAUUGACACCAUCCGUUGGAAAGAUGAUGCAAUUCGUGGAUUGACAAGUGCAAUUGUUCCAAAAACUGGUCAAGCUUCAGGAUUUGGUGUGCAUUAUUGAGUAGAUUUUAGAUCUCCUCUGUUAUCAUACAUAAUUCACCAGAAUCCAGUGGAUCAAAGGAGUAUAUUUGGAGAUUCUAAACUGCUGGAAAGCAAUAUUUUGAUCAUUCCAUCAUCCAUGUGAAAUUUAUCAAGGUUGUCCGUAUCAUCUUAGCUACCUC
rnacentral:lncRNA from 1 species